UUUCCGUAGGUGAGCCUGCGGAAGGAUCAUUGUCGAAGCCUGCCCAGCAGAACGACCCGCGAACUUGUAUAAACAACCGGGGGCAGGGGCGAUCUCGCCCCGUGCCCUCGAACGGCAGGGAGACACUCGUGCCUUCUUGUCGAACAACGAACCCCGGCGCGGUCUGCGCCAAGGAACUUCAAUUAAAGAGUGCCUCCGGUCGCCUCGGAAACGGUGCGCGUGUCGGAGGCGAAUCUUGUACAAAACCAUAACGACUCUCGGCAACGGAUAUCUCGGCUCUC
rnacentral:misc_RNA from 1 species